UACGUAGGGGGCAAGCGUUGUCCGGAAUUAUUGGGCGUAAAGAGCGUGUAGGCGGUCCGGUAAGUCAGCUGUGAAAGUCAAGGGCUCAACCCUUGAAAGCCGGUUGAUACUGUCGGGCUAGAGUCCGGAAGAGGCGAGUGGAAUUCCCGGUGUAGCGGUGAAAUGCGCAGAUAUCGGGAGGAACACCAAUGGCGAAGGCAGGUCUCUGGGCCGAAACUGACGCUGAGGAGCGAAAGCGUGGGGAGCGAACAGG
rnacentral:rRNA from 1 species